rnacentral:piRNA from 1 species
UCUGGUAUGCUGAUGCAGACUUAGUGGGU